AAUAGCAAGCAUAGUUUGAGAUUAGAUCACAUCAUUUCCUUGGAAUAAAAUAACUUAGUUCAUGCAGGAAAUUGAACUCAACACAAAUAAAUUCAGCUUGAUCUGAGUAUGGAAAUAAGGAAAAUCAAACUAGGAAAAUAAUGGUAAAGCUUGAUCGAUAUCUUUUGAGAUGGAAAAUAUGCAGCUUCACGAUCCUCUCUCUUUCCUUGGUUCAAAUCCGUUCCUUUAUCUUCAAAAUCUCAUUUUUGCAAUUUGCUUUCUUCUCUCCCAAAAGCGCUUCAAUGCCAGAUGAAUAAAAUUCUUAACUAGGUUAUAGAAGUUGAGUAGGAUAGGAAACUAAAAUUUGGGAUUGCCCGUAUUGACCAU
rnacentral:lncRNA from 1 species